CGUGGACCUGCCAUUGUGUGCUCGCCAAACCCAGGGUGGGCUGCCAUCCAGUUUUGGCCAGGUGGCUUGACCAGAAGUUGGCUGCUGGUCUUCUGGGGGAGAUUUUGUUUUCCUUUAAGAGAGAGCUCCAGGAGGAGACAGCAGAUAGACCUCACAGCCUCUCCUUCCUCUGAACUGUGUGGUAUAGGGGGCAACGCCUGGCUGUUGCAGCCCUGACUCCCGGACGCUCCCAUCUGAGCAAGGGGGGAGGGUGGGAAAAACCUGCCUUGACGGGGCCACCGACAGCACCGUGGCCACUCUGCCUCUGCACUUGCCACAGGAGGAAGCCUUCCCUGGUCCAACUGGAAACCCAACUCAGGUUGGUGAAAUCUGAGGGCACCAGGUCUUGGAAAGACAGGUGUUGGCCCAUCACCAGGAAAUGUGUGCCAGCCGGAGACCCUGGGCAGGGUGGGACAUGCCCCUUCUCAGUGCCCCCUGCUCCUCCUCUUCAGCUGGGUGCUGGGUGCAGAACAAAGAAAUACUUUGCUCUUGUUCUCUCUUAUAAGUGGGAGCUGAACAAUGUGAACACAUGGACCCAGGGAGGAGAACAACACACACUGGGGCCUGUCGGGGGGCCGGGCAGGGAGAGGGAGAGCAUCAGGAAAAAUAUGGACUUGCUGGGCUUAAUGCCUAGGCGAUGGGUUGAUAGGUGCAGCAAAUCACCAUGGCACACGUUUACGUAUGUAACAAACCUGCACGUCCUGCACAUGUACCCCGGAACGUAAAAGAAAACAAAAAGAAGAAAUGCUUUGCUCUCCAGAAUCCCUCUUUCCCCCAGACUGGACAGAAAGGAAGCCGAAGGAAACAUCUGAGUGGCUGGUGUCUCUCUUUUACAUUCCACCGUGGGAGGCAGGGGACUUUUUUGAAUUAGCAGUUUUCUUGUUCAAAGGGACAGUCUCCAGACGGCAUUGGGAGAAGUCUGUCUGUAACAUUCUGUGUCUUCUCAUGACCACAACUUAUCUGAGGAAUGACACUAUUUCCAGAACAGAUUCUGAUGGAGAUUUUGGACCAAUUUUGAAAAUGCUGUAGGGAUAAACAUUCUCAGAUGUGCUGAACUUGGGAUGAUGUGUGGAUACUUUAAGAGGAGCAAAACCAAACAAAACAAAAUAGCGGCCUUUUACUCAGACAGUGUUCCAGUCAGAGAUGGGCGUGCUGUGUAUGAGGGUGAAGUUCGUGGCGGUGCAGGAUAAAGGAGGAGGAAGACAAACUUUGAGCAUUUGCAGGUUGAUAUGUACUCACGAUCUUAUUUCAUCUUUCCAACAACCAGUGUGGAGUGGAAUAUUUUAUUUUUCAUGAAUUUUUUCCUCCACUUUAUUGAAGUAUAAUUAGUAUAUCAAAAAACUGCACAUAAUAAUGUAUCUAAUUUGGUGAGUUUGGACAAAUGUAUACAACUCAUGUUACUCUCUCCCCAAUGCAGAUAAUAAAUACGUCUAUCACCUCUUCAAAU
rnacentral:lncRNA from 10 species